CUACGGAGUAUAAUUGAUGAAUGG
rnacentral:siRNA from 1 species